UGGGGAAUAUUGGACAAUGGGCGCAAGCCUGAUCCAGCCAUGCCGCGUGAGUGAAGAAGGCCUUAGGGUUGUAAAACUCUUUCGCCCGCGAAGAUGAUGACGGUAGCGGGAGAAGAAGCCCCGGCUAACUCCGUGCCAGCAGCCGCGGUAAUACGGAGGGGGCGAGCGUUGUUCGGAAUUACUGGGCGUAAAGGGCGCGUAGGCGGGCUUGCAAGUCAGGGGUGAAAGGCCUGGGCUCAACCUGGGAACUGCCUUUGAAACUGCUGGUCUUGAGUGCGGGAGAGGAUGGCGGAAUUCCCAGUGUAGAGGUGAAAUUCGUAGAUAUUGGGAAGAACACCGGUGGCGAAGGCGGCCAUCUGGACCGGCACUGACGCUGAGGCGCGAAAGCGUGGGGAGCAAACAGGAUUAGAUACCCCCGUAGUCC
rnacentral:rRNA from 1 species